CUCAUUCUGCUUCCUUUGUUUGCUGAACUGUGCUGGCCUCCCUUGCUGCUCCUCCAACACCUGGACCAAUCUGUUUGUUUGCUUGCUGCCGGGAAGGUAAGCGCUAGCGUGGCUAGGUAACAUCCACCUCAUCUAAACUAAGCCUUUAUGUAGUAUUUUGUUUCAGCUGCGCUGCAUAGGCGAACUUGUCGAUCUGCUUAUCUGGCAGUGUGGUGAUUUGCAGGUAAGCAGCUACCGUAAGUUAUAGUUUUUAUCAGCAGUUGUAUUAAUAAUCUACUCUAUUUUUUAGCCUCCUCCCGAGUCCCUGACGACUAUUAUAUUUGGAUGUACACUCGCUGCUGUUUUGCCUACGAUGAAAUGUUUUAAAAGAUUUGUAUGAACUUUCCCCCGCUGCCGGGAGCAUUGAUGGCACUACAAACGGGAUUAAAAAAAGCAAUGUUGUAGUGCUAUUGUAUCACUGUUUUACUCAUAUUGUUUAAUUUUUCUGUCUUUCUUUUAGGGACUGAGGCUUCUGUGGUGGCGGUGGUGAUUCCUGGUGUCUUGUGUGUUUUGUUGGAGCACCUUUUUCGUGUGUGUGCGUUUGCCGUGUUUUUGUAGUGUCUAGGGUGAUCCCUUUUCUUCACUGAAUGUUGCCCCUUUCCUCACUACUCUCCCCCCACUGGUAGCUAAGCCUCAAUUUUCUUUGAAAUUUAAACAUUUUAUUAUCAACUUUAUUAAAAAUGCAUUAACUGUUUUAACUAUUCAAUUUCAGGUUAUUAAUUUAAACAACACAUUGAAGUUUAAUAAAUUUUUUUGUAGAACUGUC